rnacentral:misc_RNA from 1 species
UUGACCAUUGCAUCCAAAGGGCAGGAGGCUUUGUUGAAGGAGUUAGAUGUCAUUUUACAGGCUUAUAGCUGUUUUACGGUUCAUAGAGUUUCAGAGAAGGCGAGAACUAAGGGAGAGUCUUUGUUGGAUGAAUUGACAGUGAAGGAGACUUCACCGGCCGAUUUGCAUUAUGAGGAGAAGAAAAAGUCGAUGGAGGGGAAGAGUGCCGCGUAUUGGACCACAUUGGCGCCCAAUGUGGAGGAUUAUAGUAGCACUGCUGCGAAGGUAAUUGCUGCGGGUUCAGGGCAUCUGAUUAAGGGCAUUUUGUGGUGUGGGGAUGUGACUGUCGAUAGGAUGAAAUGGGGGAAUGAGGUCAUGAAGAGAAGGAUGAGUCCCAAGUCGAAGUCAGAGAUUAGUCCUGACACUAUGAAGAGGAUUAGAAGAGUUAAGAAGAUGACAAAAAGGACAGAGAAAGUUGCCAAUGGAGUUCUUUCUGGGGUUGUGAAAGUAUCUGGAAUUUUCACUAGUAAAGUUGCCAAUUCAAAAGUGGGCAAGAAAUUCUUUGGCCUUCUGCCAGGGGAAAUUGUGCUUGCAUCCCUGGAUGGAUUUAGCAAGGUUUGUGAUGCUGUUGAAGUAGCUGGAAAGAAUGUCAUGUCAACAUCAUCCAAUGUGACAACUGAACUCGUUAACCACAGAUAUGGUGAACAAGCAGCUAAGGCUACAAAUGAGGGUCUUGAUGCCGCUGGACAUGCAAUAGGGACUGCAUGGGCAGCAUUUAAGCUUCGAAAGGCGCUUAAUCCAAAAAGUGCAUUAAAACCCAGCAGCUUGGCUAAGUCUGCUGUUAAAGCUGCUGCUGCCGAGAUCAAAGCUAAGAAUUCCAAAUGACUAUAGAUGGAUAUUCUUAAAACAUUGCAUAAUUUCAGCCCUAAAAUUUGAAGCUACAUUCUUCUAUUUUACCCUUUGCUG